CAGCAGCCGCGGGAAUACGUAGGGUGCAAGCGUUAAUCGGAAUUACUGGGCGUAAACCGUGCGCAGGCGGUUUGUUAAGACAGAUGUGAAAUCCCCGGGCUCAACCUGGGAACUGCAUUUGUGACUGGCAAGCUAGAGUAUGGCAGAGGGGGGUGGAAUUCCGCGUGUAGCAGUGAAAUGCGUAGAUAUGCGGAGGAACACCGAUGGCGAAGGCAGCCCCCUGGGCCAAUACUGACGCUCAUGCACGAAAGCGUGGGGAGCAAACAGGAUUAGAGACCCGUGUAGUCCCUGUCUCUUAUAC
rnacentral:rRNA from 1 species